rnacentral:rRNA from 1 species
UAUUGACAAUGAAGAGUUUGAUCCUGGCUCAGGAUGAACGCUAGCGAUAGGCUUAACACAUGCAAGUCGAGGGGCAGCAUGGUCUUAGCUUGCUAAGACUGAUGGCGACCGGCGCACGGGUGCGUAACGCGUAUGCAACUUGCCUCACAGAGGGGGAUAACCCGUCGAAAGACGGACUAAUACCGCGUACACUCUAUGUUGGGCAUCCAAUGUAGAGGAAAUGAAAUUCGCUGUGAGAUAGGCAUGCGUCCCAUUAGCUAGUUGGUGAGGUAACGGCUCACCAAGGCGACGAUGGGUAGGGGAAC